UGCGUAGGUGGUUUAUUAAGUCAGUGGUGAAAUCCUGCAGCUCAACCGUAGAACUGCCAUUGAUACUGGUAAACUUGAGUUUGGUUUAGGUAAGCGGAAUUUAUGAUGUAGCGGUGAAAUGCAUAGAUAUCAUAAGGAACACCAAUAGCGAAGGCAGCUUACUGGACCAUAACUGACACUGAGGCACGAAAGCGUGGGUAGCGAACAGGAUUAGAUACCCUGGUAGUCCACGCCGUAAACGAUGCUCACUCGAUGUUAGCGAUAUACUGUUAGCGUCCAAGCUAAAGCGUUAAGUGAGCCACCUGGGGAGUACGCCGGCAACGGUGAAACUCAAAGGAAUUGACGGGGGUCUGUACAAGCGGUGGAGCAUGUGGUUUAAUUCGAUAA
rnacentral:rRNA from 1 species